UACGUAGGCAGCGAGCGUUGUUCGGAGUUACUGGGCGUAAAGGGUGUGUAGGCGGUUGUUUAAGUUUGGUGUGAAAUCUCCCGGCUCAACUGGGAGGGUGCGCCGAAUACUGAAUGACUCGAGUGUGGGAGAGGUGAGUGGAAUUCCUGGUGUAGCGGUGAAAUGCGUAGAUAUCAGGAGGAACACCGGUGGCGAAGGCGGGUCUCUGGGCAAUAACUGACGCUGAGGAGCGAAAGCGUGGGGAGCGAACAGG
rnacentral:rRNA from 1 species